UACGGGGGGGGCAAGCGUUGUUCGGAAUUACUGGGCGUAAAGGGCUCGUAGGUGGCCAACUAAGUCGGACGUGAAAUCCCUCGGCUUAACCGGGGAACUGCGUCCGAUACUGGUUGGCUUGAGUUUGGGAGAGGGAUGCGGAAUUCCAGGUGUAGCGGUGAAAUGCGUAGAUAUCUGGAGGAAUACCGGUGGCGAAGGCGGCAUCCUGGACCGGCAUUGACGCUGAGGAGCGAAAGCUAGGGGAGCAAACGGG
rnacentral:rRNA from 1 species